rnacentral:rRNA from 1 species
UACGUAGGGCGCAAGCGUUGUCCGGAAUUAUUGGGCGUAAAGAGCUCGUAGGUGGUUUGUUACGUCUGCUGUGAAAACCUAGGGCUUAACCCUGGGCCUGCAGUGGAUACGGGCAGACUAGAGGUAGGUAGGGGAGAAUGGAAUUCCCGGUGGUAGCGGUGAAAUGCGCAGAUAUCGGGAGGAACACCGGUGGCGAAGGCGGUUCUCUGGGCCUUACCUGACACUGAGGAGCGAAAGCGUGGGGAGCGAACAGG